GUUCAACUUUGAUUCUCCAUAGUAACUCUGGUUUGUUUUAUCAACAUCUGAUUGGACCACCACUAGGAGCCCUGUAGAACCAGAGUUCCAGCUCAGUUGCACAGUUGAGCACCUGAAGAAGCUACGUCGAGCAACAGGUUGACUUUGUAAGUCCUUUCCACAAGCAUAUAUCUGAACACUGGCUGGCAUUCCCUUAGAUUCUGGAACAAAUGCAGCCACAUAUGAUCCAGGGGCUUUAGAAAGCUCCAAUGCAGCAAUCCCAGGAACUCGAAGCCGAUUAACGAAUCCCUUAGAGAAAUCCCUAGGAUCAAAAGAUUGGAUCUCAUUUGUUGCCAAACGACAUGCAACAGUUUCGUCAGAGCUGAAAUGUACUGAAGGCCAUGUAACUUUAGUCAUAUUUUUCUGGAAGAGUUGGUAAGCAAAUUCACCAUUUUCUAUCUUCCACAAGACUACGUUCUUAUGCUGAGGAGAUGAACAUUUUUGGAAGGUUUGAAGAUAAGUCCCG
rnacentral:misc_RNA from 1 species